rnacentral:piRNA from 1 species
UGUGCUUCAUGAUGUGUCCGUCUUCU